UUUUGUUUUGUGGUUCUCAAUAGGAGCCUUCUUAUGAUUGCGUCGUCAGACACCCUGCCGUCCCAGCUUCUAUCCCCUUGACGACAUUUCUUACUUAUUUUACUGUGGUGUGGUGACAAAUCACCAUUUCUUGAGGCAUCUUUCCGGCAUUUCGUUAAGAUAUCACCUUCCUCCCCUUCUUCAUAUAUAUGUCUUCCUUCCAUAGCAUUUAGGAGUUGUCUUUGCUAUGAAUUGAUUAGUGGAGCAGAUGAUAGAUGAUGAUGAUGCCAAGCCUGUGAAAAUGCUACUGAGUUGCUAUCAGCAGAAGGAUAAUUAAUUGGAGUAAUUUCAUUCCUUUGUUGCCGCUGU
rnacentral:lncRNA from 1 species